UAAGGAAUAUUGGUCAAUGGACGCAAGUCUGAACCAGCCAUGCCGCGUGGAGGAUGAAGGUCCUCUGGAUUGUAAACUUCUUUUAUCUGGGACGAAACACUUCUUUUCUAAGAGGCCUGACGGUACCAGAUGAAUAAGCACCGGCUAACUCCGUGCCAGCAGCCGCGGUCAUACGGAGGGUGCAAGCGUUAUCCGGAUUCACUGGGUUUAAAGGGUGCGUAGGUGGGUAUGUAAGUCAGUGGUGAAAUCCCCGAGCUUAACUUGGGAACUGCCAUUGAUACUAUAUAUCUUGAAUACCGUAGAGGUAAGCGGAAUAUGGCAUGUAGCGGUGAAAUGCUUAGAUAUGACAUGGAACACCAAUUGCGAAGGCAGCUUACUAUGCGGUGAUUGACACUGAGGCACGAAGGCGUGGGUAGCAAACA
rnacentral:rRNA from 1 species